rnacentral:lncRNA from 10 species
UUUGCCUCUUUUAAAAAGUUCUAAGUUGCUGGCUAAUCAGGACAAAUACAGAAUGUGAGGUGCAGGGAGCUGAAGGCCCCUGGGAAGUGACCAACUCAGCAUUUCGCUGGAGGCUAUAGGAUCAAACAGCAAACUGUUUAUCAUGAAUGCAGGAUGUGGGCAAACUCACACUGCCCUGCCACCAAAAGGUUUGUUGAGGGCCUCACUCCCUGGCGCUGGGCUCCUUGAAGUUAUCUAUUGAGAAGUCUAGCACCUAAGAAUGCAGUCUUGCAAGCCUGCUGCGAAUCAAGCUGCUGGCCAACAACCACUCCCCACCUUCUCACUAUCUCUAUUGCCUAAUAAAUAUGGAGGGCAGUGUAAAGCUCAGGGCCCUUGUCCACUAGAGACAAGGUGCCCUCCGACCCCUUCUUCCAAAUAUACUCUUUUGCCUCUUGUCUUUUAUUCCCGUGUUUGCCCCCUUUGUUCAGUCCCCCUAGGUCCAUGCAGGUUACAUAGUGGUGCCCCAAACAGUGACACAAUUGGGUUCUCAACAAGUGGUGACUCAGAACAGGGACGCCAAGGAUGCCAACAAGUGGCGUCUGAACACGGGACUUCGACGAUGUGAACAAAAAAGAUCUGCUGGAGCAGAGAAGCUGAAAUUGACAAGGCAAACGGGGACCCCAGGAUGAGUCUGCCGGCAGCAUAUAUAAGGCAGUUCCUUGCCAAUUUUUGAUAGCAUUGCGUUCAUCCACUUUCUCAGGCAGGGACUAUAGGAAAUGAAGGUGAACUCGUGGAGAUUUUGGAGAGAAUUUAAUGAAGAGGCUGUUUACCAAGGUAUGGGCAGAAUUAAGGGGAAUCAUGAGGGAUGAUCUCUCUCUGUCUCCGAGGCUGGAGUGCAAUGUUGCAAUCAGGGCUCACUGCAGCCUCGACCUCCUGGGCUCAACUGAUCUUCGUACCACAGCCUCAUGAGUAACUGGGACUACAGACGACCAUGGGCAUUUUUUCUAUGCAACUACAGAUAGUAUCUCAUGAUAUGAAUGGUCCUGGAUUUACUUACACAUCCUCCUUUGGAUGAGCAAGUAAGUGGUUUCCAAUUUUUUCCACUAUUAUACAGAAUACGCAAAUGAAUAUCCUUGCACUUACAUGAUUUAUUUCUUAAAAUAAAUUCUUAUGAGUGCAAUUCUUUUUAUAAAAGAAAAUUAUAUUUUUAACUUCUCUAAAUGUUGCCAGGUUUCCCUCCAGAAACAUUUUACUCCUACUAUGUAUGAAAUUUCCCUUUCCUCCUUAGCCUUGCUAGCAAUGGGGGGGGGGUUUAUGCUUACAUUUUAAAUCUUGGCUAACCUGAUAGGUAAAAAUUAAUAUAUCGCUAUUAUUUUGUUUGCAUUAUUUUGAUCAUGAAUAAAGUUGAGCCCUUUAUCCUAUAUGUAUUUUAUAAAGUAAAUUUUUCACAGUGAUAGACAUUUGUAGUGCUUUUUAAAGGCACUGGUUCUGGUGGACACUGAGAGACAAUUUUUAUUUGCUGCACGUGGAAAGGACAACAACAUACCUGGACAGAAAUGCCUCGAGGAUGUACUGAAGGCCCCUCUCACUUUUCACAGCCAUAACUGUAAGUUUCCUGGGGCCUCUCCAGAAGACAAGCAGAUGCCGCUAUGCUUCCUGAACAGCCCACAGAACU